UGAAAAUUCACUAAAGUUUUUGAUUUGCUACUUUUUAACUCUUUCAUCAGCGGCGGUCUAAAAUUUACAUUUACAUAUGUAUACCACACUAAGAAAAUACAUAUUCCGUUAUUUGUAAAAUGAAAAAUAAUAUAAUUAUGACUGUGAAACAUGGCGGCGGUAACGUAUGGUUUGGGGGUACAUUGCAGCAUCUGAUGUUGGAAAACUCGUUUUCAUUGAUGAUAAAAUGGAUAAGCACUCAUAUUUGAAAAUCUUAAAGGAAAAUUUACCGCCAAGCUUUGAAAAGUUGGGCUUAAGUGGGCAGUCAUUCUUGUUGCAACAAGUCAAUGACUCGAAGCAUGCGUCAUAUCUUGUGCAAGAAUGGCUUAUCUACCAUUGCAAGCAUUUAAAAACACCUCCGCAAUCCCCAACUACUAACCCUAUAGAGCAUAUUUGGCUUCUACUGUAGGA